UAUCUGAACCUUCGGGGAACGAUAACGGCGUCGAGCGGCGGACGGGUGAGUAAUGCCUAGGAAAUUGCCCUGAUGUGGGGGAUAACCAUUGGAAACGAUGGCNAAUACCGCAUGAUGCCUACGGGCCAAAGAGGGGGACCUUCGGGCCUCUCGCGUCAGGAUAUGCCUAGGUGGGAUUAGCUAGUUGGUGAGGUAAGGGCUCACCAAGGCGACGAUCCCUAGCUGGUCUGAGAGGAUGAUCAGCCACACUGGAACUGAGACACGGUCCAGACUCCUACGGGAGGCAGCAGUGGGGAAUAUUGCACAAUGGGCGCAAGCCUGAUGCAGCCAUGCCGCGUGUAUGAAGAAGGCCUUCGGGUUGUAAAGUACUUUCAGUCGUGAG
rnacentral:rRNA from 2 species